rnacentral:misc_RNA from 1 species
UAAACAUUAGAUGGUGCUAUUACAAACUGACAUCAAAAUCUUGAAACUAUGAAAGAGAUGAGUCCAUUGCUACAAUCUUGUUAACUGAUUACUUUACUUCCUUCUGGGAAAUCACCAACAUUUUUCUGUAGGUCUUACAUGAUUUGCUUCGCGUCACGAAAAAAAAUACAGUUGGAUGCAUUGUGUGGACCAGACCUCAUAUUCAGGGAAAGAAAACAGUAAGUUUAUCAAAUCUGUAGUUUAGGUAACUUAUUCUGUGGCAGCUUUCUUAGCUCCAACGGCGAAGAACUCUGUAAUGACUUCAAGG